GGGCAGCAUGGUCUUAGCUUGCUAAGGCUGAUGGCGACCGGCGCACGGGUGAAUAACACGUAUCCAACCUGCCGUCUACUCUUGGCCAGCCUUCUGAAAGGAAGAUUAAUCCAGGAUGGCAUCAUGAGUUCACAUGUCCGCAUGAUUAAAGGUAUUUUCCGGUAGACGAUGGGGAUGCGUUCCAUUAGAUAGUAGGCGGGGUAACGGCCCACCUAGUCAACGAUGGAUAGGGGUUCUGAGAGGAAGGUCCCCCACAUUGGAACUGAGACACGGUCCAAACUCCUACGGGAGGCAGCAGUGAGGAAUAUUGGUCAAUGGGCGAUGGCCUGAACCAGCCAAGUAGCGUGAAGGAUGACUGCCCUAUGGGUUGUAAACUUCUUUUAUAAAGGAAUAAAGUCGGGUAUGCAUACCCGUUUGCAUGUACUUUAUGAAUAAGGAUCGGCUAACUCCGUGCCAGCAGCCGCGGUAAUACGGAGGAUCUGAGCGUUAUCCGGAUUUAUUGGGUUUAAAGGGAGCGUAGAUGGAUGUUUAAGUCAGUUGUGAAAGUUUGCGGCUCAACCGUAAAAUUGCAGUUGAUACUGGAUGUCUUGAGUGCAGUUGAGGCAGGCGGAAUUCGUGGUGUAGCGGUGAAAUGCUUAGAUAUCACGAAGAACUCCGAUUGCGAAGGCAGCCUGCUAAGCUGCAACUGACAUUGAGGCUCGAAAGUGUGGGUAU
rnacentral:rRNA from 1 species